CCAGAACCUGGCACUAGGAGAUUCCUGGAGAAAGUGAGCCUUCUUGUCUGACUGUCCAGAGAGUGAGAGAAAGUGUGAUGGGUACCAAGUCCACAGGAAGAAGUAAGUUCUUGGAUAGAUCCAGUGCAAGGUCAGUUUGCCUUAGCAGAGCACCAGAGUUCAGCAAAAGAAUGAACAUGUUCUAAUGUCAAGAUCACUCACUUUGGGAGAAGCCAACCACCAUGCCAGUAGAUACUCGAGAUGCCCAACAAAAGUGACCACAUGGUGAGAAACUAAGGCCCCUUACCCAUAACCAGCACUAAUUCGCCAUGUAAGUCACCUUGGAAUUGGAUCCUCCAGCCUUGGUCUAGUCCUCAGAUGACUGCAACCACACACAGCUACCACGUUGACUGCAAUCUCAAAAAAAG
rnacentral:lncRNA from 1 species